ACGGCUCAGUAACACGUGGCCAAACUACCCUCUGGAGCGCGACAACCUCGGGAAACUGAGGCUAAUCGUGCAUACCGCUCUCACGCUGGAAGUUGCGGAGAGCUCAAAACGCUCCGGCGCCAGAGGAUGUGGCUGCGGCCGAUUAGGUAGACGGUGGGGUAACGGCCCACCGUGCCAGUAAUCGGUACGGGUUGUGAGAGCAGGAGCCCGGAGACGGUAUCUGAGACAAGAUACCGGGCCCUACGGGGCGCAGCAGGCGCGAAACCUUUACACUGCACGCCAGUGCGAUAAGGGGACUCCAAGUGCGAGGGCAUAGAGCCCUCGCUUUUCUGUACCGUAAGGUGGUACAAGAAUAAGUGCUGGGCAAGACCGGUGCCAGCCGCCGCGGUAAUACCGGCAGCACGAGUGAUGGCCGCUCUUAUUGGGCCUAAAGCGUCCGUAGCUGGCCGCGCAAGUCCAUCGGGAAAUCCGCACGCCUAACGUGCGGGCGUCCGGUGGAAACUGCGUGGCUUGGGACCGGAAGAUCCAGAGGGUACGUCCGGGGUAGGAGUGAAAUUCUGUAAUCCUGGACGGACCACCGGUGGCGAAAGCGCUCUGGAAAGACGGAUCCGACGGUGAGGGACGAAAGCUCGGGUCACGAACCGGAUUAGAUACCCGGGUAGUCCGAGCUGUAAACGAUGUCUGCUAGGUGUGCCACAGGCUACGAGCCUGUGGUGUGCCGUAGGGAAGCCGUGAAGCAGACCGCCUGGGAAGUACGUCCGCAAGGAUGAAACUUAAAGGAAUUGGCGGGGGAGCAC
rnacentral:rRNA from 1 species